CACUCCUGCGGGAGGCAGCAGUGGGGAAUUUUGGACAAUGGGCGAAAGCCUGAUCCAGCAAUGCCGCGUGAGUGAAGAAGGCCUUCGGGUUGUAAAGCUCUUUUGUCAGGGAAGAAACGGUGAAAGCUAAUAUCUUUUGCUAAUGACGGUACCUGAAGAAUAAGCACCGGCUAACUACGUGCCAGCAGCCGCGGUAAUACGUAGGGUGCAAGCGUUAAUCGGAAUUACUGGGCGUAAAGCGUGCGCAGGCGGUUUUGUAAGUCUGAUGUGAAAUCCCCGGGCUCAACCUGGGAAUUGCAUUGGAGACUGCAAGGCUAGAAUCUGGCAGAGGGGGGUAGAAUUCCACGUGUAGCAGUGAAAUGCGUAGAUAUGUGGAGGAACACCGAUGGCGAAGGCAGCCCCCUGGGUCAAGAUUGACGCUCAUGCACGAAAUCGUGGGGAGCAAACAGGAUUAGAAACCCCUGUAGUCC
rnacentral:rRNA from 1 species